GUGCCAGCCGACGAUGGAUUGAACCUCUACAAACUGACAGAGUGGGGCUAGAUGUGGCCGCUGCCCACCCUGCAAGUUCCGGAUAAUGAUUCCCAUUUCGCAGAUGAAGGGAUGGAACAGGGGGAGGCUACAGGACAUCUUCAAAGUCUCAUAAUUACAGCCAGGAUCUGUAGCCAGAUCCGGAGAACUCUGGAGCAGGGAUUCUCCUUGCCACUAAGCCCCUAGGAGCAACACUCUACACGUUUGGCAGGGACAAGGGUUUAUGCUCCAUGCAAGAACAGAUUCCAUUUUUUAUGUUACAAGGUGAGUGAUUCACAGGACUGCAGUUUACCUCAAUUCUGGGUCCAGCCAUCAGGCUGCUUUCAUUCUUGGUUUUUGUCACCCAAACUGGGUUGAGAAAGCCAGUGCCCAUGACUCCUGG